GCACUUUUAAAAAAUCUCCACUUUUACAUUUCGGGAGAGAGAACAAGUAACUCACCGCUCGCAACACAUCUCAACGAUCCUCGUUCAUUGAUCAAAGAUGCACAAGAAAGUUGCACCAUAUCCAUGGAAAAUCUCUGUGGCGUUCCGCAAGGGGCCACUUGGAUACCUUCUCCAGGACCCGUCAAAAGAAGCUCGACGGAUUAAAAAUGACCCCAAGCUUCAGGACAAGUCUGCACCUGUGAGGGAGGACGUUGUACAUUAGAAUGCUCUGACUGUCGUCUAUCAGAGAGGAGGCGAUGCCUCCAACAUGAAGGAAGUGCUGGGAGAGUACAUCCUGCAGUUUGGAAAAUUUAAAGGGAAAUCUUUCCGGUGGCUUCUGGAGAAUGAUGUCGGGUACACCAUGUACCUGAUCAAAGAGCUCCAGAAGGAAGAGGCUGCAGGGACCUCUGUGGAAGAAAGGCAAGGCAAGGAGAGCUUGCAUUCAUUUGUACAGUAUGCCCUCAGUUUUGCAGAGAUAUAAACUCUUCUGGACUACGAGGUCAGCAGAGUGAGUGUUGCAGCAGAAGCCUCUGAGGAUGAUCAGCUGGUUGGCUUUGGCUCACGAGCCAAGAGCACCUGGAAGGAGAUUUGGGACGGCAGAGGUGACGGCUAUGCAGACUUUAUCAUGAGGAAGAGCUGCAGUCAAGCAACAUGGAUGCAUAAGCUGCAGCAGUACCUGCGGAAGAAGCAGCAGUCUGCAUCUGCUUCCACAAAUGCUCCAACUAAACCCCUGGGGAUGGAUGAGGAUAAAGACCUGGAGGACGCAAUGCUGAGCAUCUCACCUCCAAAACUACACAUGCAGAGCUUCACUGUGCCAGCAGCAGCAGAAGGGUCCACACCCAGAGGAUCUUCAGGAGCAAACAAAGGUUUUCAAAUGAAAUGUUUCAGAACUGGAGUAAAAUAGUUUUACAUGAAUUGCUCUCCAAAGCUGAGCCUGAACUUGAACUUUUAUAUAUUGUCUUGUUCUUGUUUUUGUGUGUUUGGCCACGUUCUGGCGAUGUUCCUCUAAUAGUAUAGUUGUAUGCUGGCUGUAUGGUGGAAGAAAACAGUAA